rnacentral:rRNA from 1 species
UUGAACGCUGGCGGCAGGCUUAACACAUGCAAGUCGAGCGGGGAGAUGUAGCUUGCUACAUAUCCUAGCGGCGGACGGGUGAGUAAUGCUUAGGAAUCUGCCUAUUAGUGGGGGACAACAUUCCGAAAGGAAUGCUAAUACCGCAUACGCCCUACGGGGGAAAGCAGGGGAUCUUCGGACCUUGCGCUAAUAGAUGAGCCUAAGUCGGAUUAGCUAGUUGGUGGGGUAAAGGCCUACCAAGGCGACGAUCUGUAGCGGGUCUGAGAGGAUGAUCCGCCACACUGGGACUGAGACACGGCCCAGACUCCUACGGGAGGCAGCAGUGGGGAAUAUUGGACAAUGGGCGCAAGCCUGAUCCAGCCAUGCCGCGUGUGUGAAGAAGGCCUUUUGGUUGUAAAGCACUUUAAGCGAGGAGGAGGCUCCUUUAGUUAAUACCUAAAGAGAGUGGACGUUACUCGCAGAAUAAGCACCGGCUAACUCUGUG